ACUCUAAACUCAAGCAAGCCCCCUCUUCUCUCUCUCUUUAACUAUUCAUCUAUUCAAUCAAGCAUUAGCAAGUCUGGUAGUGCUGAGCAGCUCAAUUAGUUCCACAAACCAACGAAAAAGAGGGCUCUGCUGGUGCACUCAAAAAACCAAAUAAAAAUUAGUGACCACACAUAGCAGCAUACAAUUUUAUACAUGAAUAUCCAUAUUAAGCAAUAUCGGACACUCAAUAGCUUUUAGAAAAGAACUUCAAGCACGAGGUUGCACAUUAGCACAUGUCUAAAUUGUAAAUUUCUUUAAAUUCACCUGUAAAUUUCAAUGAAUUUCAAUAAUAUAUGCGAAAAUCUACCAAUCCAUGCUCAGCCACCAAAAUAAAAAUAAAAAGGUAUAUCAUCAAAGUCAAGUCAUGCAUUCUAUCAGUAUGUAUAUCAAUCCACCAUACUUUGAGAAAAUAAAUAAAGAAAAUCAAGAACAUUUCACUAAUACAGAACUAUUGUAGAGUUUUGAUGCAUCAUGUUAAAAUGCUUUUACGGUAUGUAAGAAUUUGUGCAGCAUUGAGGGGGUCAAGGGCUUUUCAAUUCUCCCGUGGCGGGUGAUCUACGUGGAUGAAGAAGAGAUUAGUUAAGACGUACAUAAUCCAAAGUUCUCCCAAUCAAAUGGAUGAACGCUGCAACAAUAACAUCAUUUUAAGAAACUUCAAAGUUCAAGAGAACACCCUCUGUUUUGUUUUGACUUUAAACGGUUCAUAAGUACCAAUAUACUGGAUUGCGUAAGAUGAAUGAUUGUCUAAUCAAGUAAGGCAGCUUAAGGAAAUUUA
rnacentral:lncRNA from 1 species